rnacentral:rRNA from 1 species
UUCUGCUCAAUGGGUAUCUAAAUAGCCGCAGUACCUUGACUGUGCAAAGGUAGCAUAAUCAAUUGGCUUAUAAUUGAAGUCUAGUAUGAAUGAAUAAAUGGGUAAGAUCUGUCUCUUUGGAAUAGCAUGAAUUUACUUAGAGAGUGAAAAUUCUCUCAUUGGGAUAAUAGACGAGAAGACCCUAGAAAUUUUGUUAAAAGUAAUUUAUUUAUUUAAUUUUGUUGGGGCGACAGAGUAACAUUUAACUUACUUUUAAUAUAGGAACUUAUUAAUGUGAAAAAUUAAAUUACUCUAGGGAUAACAGCAUAAUUUUUAAAGAGUUUGUGACCUCGAUGUUGGACUAGGAAAUAUAUUAUUCAGAAGAUAAUAUACAAUGCUCUGUUCGAGCAGCCUCUUCCUACGUGAUCUGAGUUCAGACCGGA